ensembl:lncRNA
AGCUAGAGUAUGACAGACAGAAUGGCCCGUCUAUCUGCUUUACAGAGACAUGGCUAGGGCUGGGACGGCCUGGCAGAGUAAGUCGAUGGACAGAGUGGCCUGAAACCCAGGGGUUAGUUGUGCUGCAGACACACUUGGGCUCAUUUGUUUGCCAGUGAAAUAGGCCAGUAAAUAAGAGGACUUUGUACAGAUGGCUGCCAGGGCAUCCCAUCUAUCUGGCAGGGAGAGAGAGAGGCCAGGUAGUGACAGGGCAUCCCAUCUAUCUGGCAGGGAGAGAGAGGCCAGGUGGUGACAGGGCAUCCCAUCUAUCUGGCAGGGAGAGAGAGAGGCCAGGUGGUGACAGGGCAUCCCAUCUAUCUGGCAGGGAGAGAGAGAGGCCAGGUGGUGACAGGGCAUCCCAUCUAUCUGGCAGGGAGAGAGAGGCCAGGUGGUGACAGGGCAUCCCAUCUAUCUGGCAGGGAGAGAGAGGCCAAGUGGUGACAGGGCAUCCCAUCUAUCUGGCAGGGAGAGAGAGGCCAAGUGGUGACAGGGCAUCCCAUCUAUCUGGCAGGGAGAGAGAGAGGCCAGGUGGUGACAGGGCAUGCAGGCCAGAGAACUGUAACUCACCUGACAAAUGAGUCUCAAUUCACUGCUCACACACACUCUAGGAAAAGGUAAAACACACUUAGAUAGCCUUCUCACACAGCCUGGUAAAUGAAAUGUGUACUUGUGUAAAUGUGCAUGCACACACAAAAGCACAGGCACACACACA